CAGAGCCUGGUGUGAUGAUCAUAGACUUACUCAGUUCUGAAAUCUGAGGAUGUCAAGAAUAAGGAGAAAAACAUGGUACGAUAAACACGAAAUAACAAAAGUGUAAAUAUGUGCAAUGGUCUAAGUGCUUUUGAAGUUUUUGAAGGAAGAAAAAUAAUGUUUGCUCAGCUGAAAAUGCAACUUGGUUUUUUGAUUCUAAAGUCAAUGAUAUAUGGUUUUUUGCUGUUAACAAAUAGCAAAGAGCAGAAGGAAAGGAAUCUAUGAAUCACAGACAUGGAUACUGGAGACUAUCACAUGUAAACUGACAUGACAGGAACAUAGAUACUGCUACAAUUCUAAUCUCCAAAACAUAGAGAAGGUCUAAAAGAGGAUCAAUAGCACAUGAAAUGUGAGGUGGAGGAAGGAGCACCAACAACAUUUGUGCAGACGUUGCAUCCACCAUUGGUGUUUUUGGUUUGAUCACUCACCCAGAGAUGAAAAGACAGGGAUUCAAAUUUCUAGCUAGACAGAUUUAUAUAUGAUUUUUCUAUUCAAAUUAUAUGCAGAUGCCAGAA
rnacentral:sRNA from 1 species